GACGAACGCUGGCGGCGUGCUUAACACAUGCAAGUCGAACGGAAAGGCCCUGCUUUUGUGGGGUGCUCGAGUGGCGAACGGGUGAGUAACACGUGAGUAACCUGCCCUUGACUUUGGGAUAACUUCAGGAAACUGGGGCUAAUACCGGAUAGGAGCUCCUGCUGCAUGGUGGGGGUUGGAAAGUUUCGGCGGUUGGGGAUGGACUCGCGGCUUAUCAGCUUGUUGGUGGGGUAGUGGCUGACCAAGGCUUUGACGGGUAGCCGGCCUGAGAGGGUGACCGGCCACAUUGGGACUGAGAUACGGCCCAGACUCCUACGGGAGGCAGCAGUGGGGAAUAUGGCACAAUGGGCGGAAGCCUGAUGCAGCAACGCCGCGUGCGGGAUGACGGCCUUCGGGUUGUAAACCGCUUUCGCCUGUGACGAAGCGUGAGUGACGGUAAUGGGUAAAGAAGCACCGGCUAACUACGUG
rnacentral:rRNA from 1 species